CCUACGUGGUGCUGCAGUGAGGAAUAUUGGUCAAUGGGCGCAAGCCUGAACCAGCCAAGUCGCGUGAGGGAUGACGGUCCUAUGGAUUGUAAACCUCUUUUGUCGGGGAGCAAGGCCCGCCACGUGUGUCGGGAAGGAGAGUACCCGAAGCAAACGCAUCGGCUAACUCCGUGCCACCAGCAGCGGUAAUACGGAGGAUGCGAGCGUUAUCCGUAUUUAUUGGGUUUAAAGGGUGCGUAGGCGGAAGUUUAAGUCAGCGGUCAAAUGUCGGGGCUCAACACCGGCCUGCCGUUGAAACUGGUCUUCUUGAGUGAGCGAGAAGUAUGCGGAAUGCGUGGUGUAGCGGUGAAAUGCAUAGAUAUCACGCAGAACUCCGAUUGCGAAGGCAGCAUACCGGCGCUCAACUGACGCUGAGGCACGAAAGCGUGGGGAUCGAACAGGAUUAGAUACCCGGGUAGUC
rnacentral:rRNA from 1 species